rnacentral:rRNA from 1 species
GACGAACGCUGGCGGCGUGCUUAACACAUGCAAGUCGAACGGAAAGGCCCCCUUGUGGGGUACUCGAGUGGCGAACGGGUGAGUAACACGUGAGUAACCUACCCUUGACUUUGGGAUAACUUCAGGAAACUGGGGCUAAUACCGGAUAGGAGCUCCUGCUGCAUGGUGGGGGUUGGAAAGUUUCGGCGGUUGGGGAUGGACUCGCGGCUUAUCAGCUUGUUGGCGGGGUAGUGGCUCACCAAGGCUUUGACGGGUAGCCGGCCUGAGAGGGUGACCGGCCACAUUGGGACUGAGAUACGGCCCAGACUCCUACGGGAGGCAGCAGUGGGGAAUAUUGCACAAUGGGCGGAAGCCUGAUGCAGCAACGCCGCGUGCGGGAUGACGGCCUUCGGGUUGUAAACCGCUUUCGCCUGUGACGAAGCGUGAGUGACGGUAAUGGGUAAAGAAGCACCGGCUAACUACGUG